rnacentral:rRNA from 1 species
UAGAAAUUAGGAGUGCUUCUUGAGAAGCUCGGUGACAGGUGCUGCAUGGCUGUCGUCAGCUCGUGUCGUGAGAUGUUGGGUUAAGUCCCGCAACGAGCGCAACCCUUGUCUUUAGUUGCCAUCAUUAAGUUGGGCACUCUAAAGAGACUGCCGGUGUCAAACCGGAGGAAGGUGGGGAUGACGUCAAGUCCUCAUGGCCUUUAUGACCAGGGCUACACACGUACUACAAUGGCAUAGACAAAGGGCAGCGACAUCGCGAGGUGAAGCGAAUCCCGUAAACUAUGUCCCAGUCCGGAUUGGAGUCUGCAACUCGACUCCAUGAAGUUGGAAUCGCUAGUAAUCGUGGAUCAGCAUGCCACGGUGAAUACGUUCCCGGGCCUUGUACACACCGCCCGUCACACCACGGGAGUUGGUUGUACCAGAAGCAGUUGAGCGAACUAUUCGUAGGNGCAGGUGCCAAGGUAGANGGAAUGGNG